GACGAACGCUGGCGGCGCGCUUAACACAUGCAAGUCGAGCGAGAACCAGGGCUUCGGCUCUGGGGACAGCGGCGAACGGGUGAGUAACACGUGAGUAAUCUGCCCUCGACACUGGGAUAGCCCGGGGAAACCCGGAUUAAUACCGGAUAGCCUUUCGAGCUCUCGGGCUCGUCAGAAAAGGAUGGCUUCGGCUUUCGGUUGAGGAUGAGCUUGCGGCGUAUUAGCUUGUUGGUGAGGAACGGCUCACCAAGGCGACAAUCCGUAGCUGGUCUGAGAGGACGAUCAGCCACACUGGGACUGAGACACGGCCCAGACUCCUACGGGA
rnacentral:rRNA from 1 species